rnacentral:rRNA from 1 species
UACGUAGGCAGCGAGCGUUGUUCGGGAAUUACUGGGCGUAAAGAGUGUGUAGGCGGUGUUCUAAGUUUGUCGUGAAAUCUCCCGGCUUAACUGGGAGGGUGCGGCGAAAACUGGAAUGCUAGAGGAUGGGAGAGGUAAGCGGAAUUCCUGGUGUAGCGGUGAAAUGCGUAGAUAUCAGGAGGAACACCUGUGGUGUAGACAGCUUCUGGACCAUUUCUGACGCUGAGACACGAAAGCGUGGGUAGCAAACAGG